rnacentral:rRNA from 1 species
UGCCUCAGUAACGGCGAGUGAAGCGGCAAAAGCUCAAAUUUGAAAUCUAGCACCUUCGGUGUUCGAGUUGUAAUUUGAAGAUGGUAACCUUGGGUUUGGCUCUUGUCUAUGUUCCUUGGAACAGGACGUCAUAGAGGGUGAGAAUCCCGUCUGAUGAGAUGCCCAUUCCUAUGUAAGGUGCUAUCGAAGAGUCGAGUUGUUUGGGAAUGCAGCUCUAAGUGGGUGGUAAAUUCCAUCUAAAGCUAAAUAUUGGCGAGAGACCGAUAGCGAACAAGUACAGUGAUGGAAAGAUGAAAAGAACUUUGAAAAGAGAGUGAAAAAGUACGUGAAAUUGUUGAAAGGGAAGGGCAUUAGAUCAGACUUGGUGUUUUACGAUUAUCUUCUCUUCUUGAGUUGUGCACUCGUAUUUCACUGGGCCAGCAUCGAUUCGGAUGGCAAGAUAAUAGCAGUUGAAUGUGGCUUCACUUCGGUGGAGUGUUAUAGCUUCUGUUGAUAUUGCCUGUCUGGAUCGAGGGCUGCGUCUUUUGACUAGGAUGCUGGCGUAAUGAUCUAAUGCCGCC